rnacentral:rRNA from 1 species
GACGAACGCUGGCGGCGUGCUUAACACAUGCAAGUCGAACGAUGAUGGCGGGGCUUGCCUCGUCUGAUUAGUGGCGAACGGGUGAGUAGCACGUGAGUAACCUGCCCCAGACUCUGGGAUAACUCCGGGAAACCGGAGCUAAUCCCGGAUAUGACAUUCUGCCGCCUGGUGGGGUGUGGUACGGUUUUUCCGUCGGGGAUGGGCUCGCGGCCUAUCAGGUUGUUGGUGAGUGAGUGGCUCACCAAGGCGACGACGGGUAGCCGGCCUGAGAGGGCGACCGGCCACACUGGGACUGAGACACGGCCCAGACUCCUACGGGAGGCAGCAGUGGGGAAUAUUGCACAAUGGGCGCAAGCCUGAUGCAGCGACGCCGCGUGAGGGAUGACGGCCUUCGGGUUGUAAACCUCUUUCAGCAGGGAAGAAGCGGAAGUGACGGUACCUGCAGAAGAAGCACCGGCUAACUACGUGCCAGCAGCCGCCGUAAUAC